AUUACAAUCAUCUACACUUGAAAGUGGUUCAACAUUGGAAACUACAUUAUCCACGACAGGUGCAACUACAUCUUCACCAUCAACAGAAGGACAAACUUCCUCUGGUCCUCAAUCAAUAACCGGAAACGGUUUCUACCCUAUUUUCUUCGGCAUUUUGGGAGCUGUUGUUCUACUUCUCAUUGUUAUAGUUGUGAUGAUUGUGGUGCUCUGCGGAGCCAAGAGAAAAAGGAGGUUAUCAUUCUUUGAGGAAGACUUCUUUGAUUUUACAUCAAGAGGAUCUACAGAAAGAGGUUAUUGGUAUCAGAAUUUUUCAGUCAUAGAAGAUUCAGCAGCUGGGUCUUUCAACCCAUACUCUGAAAUUACACCUGAAAGAUAAGGACCAGAGCAACUGAAGUGGUGGAUGUCUGAUGAGCAGAAAUGACAUAUUAUUUAUUAAAAUAUUGACACUAUAAUCUCAGGAAGCCAACAUAAUAAUAUGCAUUUACUGCAUUACAUGCAUUUACUGGGUUUGUUUCAGAUUAUUUAAAGUAUUUUUAAGUAAAAUUAUCUCACUGUCCAUAAUAAUAUUUACAAAGCACAAAAACAAUGUAUAAAGCACAUCAGUAAAACUCAGUCAUUUGAAACUCAAAAGCACUCAUCUACGAUACCAAACACUCCAACAUAUGCAUAAAUUAAUAAUAAACAAAUUAAAUAGGUGGGGGUUGUAAAAAUGUGGUCAACUGCAUUGCACAAGUGCUCAAUGGGAGUGAUGCCGCAGACACAGUCAAUCACAAAACGUGGCAGAUCAAAACAAUUUUGGCCCCUGUUCCACACAUACUAUAUAUUUUUAUGAUUUCUGUGAUGCUGACUUACAAUAUAGGAACAUAAGCAACAAUAUUUCAUAGUACACAAUGCCAGGUUUUUAGAAAGCUAGAAAAUGCAAGAGCAGAGGAGA